GUCCCAGACUCCUACGGGAGGCAGCAGUGGGGAAUAUUGCACAAUGGGGGAAACCCUGAUGCAGCGACGCCGCGUGAGUGAAGAAGUAUUUCGGUAUGUAAAGCUCUAUCAGCAGGGAAGAGAAUGACGGUACCUGAGUAAGAAGCCCCGGCUAACUACGUGCCAGCAGCCGCGGUAAUACGUAGGGGGCAAGCGUUAUCCGGAUUUACUGGGUGUAAAGGGAGCGUAGACGGCAGUGCAAGUCCGGAGUGAAAGCCCGGGGCUCAACCCUGGGACUGCUCUGGAAACUGUAAAGCUGGAGUGCGGGAGGGGCAGGGGAAUUCCUGGUGUAGCGGUGAAAUGCGUAGAUAUCAGGAGGAACACCGGCGGGGAAGGCGGCUUGCUGGGCUUUUACUGACGCUGAGGCUCGAAAGUGUGGGGAGCAAACAGGAUUAGAUACCCUGGUAU
rnacentral:rRNA from 1 species